UUUUGUUUAAUUAAUAUUUAAUGAAACUAUACAAUUUGGGUGGAAAUUGGACUUGAGAAUAAAGAGUUUGUGACAUAGGAAAUUAAGAGAAUGAAUAAGUGAGGGACUUACUAACUCUUACUAACAUAAAUAGCUAUGCACAAAAAGGAAGUGUCAUCAGUGAACAAUACUUAUGUAAUAGGAAUAAAACAAUGAAUAUUUUUGCCAAUGUUAUAUACUAAAAGAAAAACAUUGAGGGUGGAUUGUGAUGGUGACAUCAUCCUCCAUAGUUAAAACACAAUAUAUAAUAUCUAAAAUUUUAAAAUAAAUAGCAUUAUUUAAAAUAAAAAAGGUAAGUGCUUAAAUUUAACUUACCAUAUCAGGAGUUCAAGACCAGCCUGGCCAACAUGGUCUACUAAAAAUAAAAAAAAUUGGCCGAGUAUGGCAGCAGGUGCCUGAAGUCCUAGCUACUCAGGAGGCUGAGGCAAGAGAAUCGCUUGAACCUGGGAGGCAGAGGUUGCAGUGAGCCAAGAUUUUGCCACUGCACUCCAGCCUGGGCAACAGAGUGAGACUCCAUCUCAAAAAAAAAAAAUACUCUUCUAUUUCAUCAAUUAACAUGAAUAUACAAAUUACCUAUUACCAACAGGUCCUGAUUCUGUUUUCAUAGUCAGAUACUAAGAAAAAUAAUGUAUACUACGUUUGGUUCUAUUAGUAACCUUAUUUUACAAAUACCCUACAAGUAAAUAUGUUUAGGGAUUUUCUAAACAUGAAUUACCAUGAAAGUCAUAUAACAAGAGGAUAUGAAAUGAGAAACAUGACUUUUGGGCCUCCCAUUUAAUCUUCUAUGUCUACCCCUAGAGUUUAAUGAGCCACUAAACACCUGGGCUGGCACUAAUAUUCAUGGCUAUAGCAAAACACACCCAGGAACUUUGAAGUAUGUCCUGUGAAUAGAUCAAUUUCCCAUCUUUACAUCUCCAUUUUCAGCUAUUUGGUCAGGGACCCUGAGAAGGUGUGCAAGAGAAUGUGUUACUCCAGUCAUGUGGUGACAAGCAGUGCCAUGAGUAACAAAUGAGCCCAUUAUUGCUUUACAGUAGAGGAGACAGGUUAAUCCUUUGUCAAAUCACUGAGCACAGUGUCCUCUGCCUUGUUCCAAUUACCCAGGAAGUGAUGGCACUUUCUCAUCCACAGCCUUUCAACACCUGCUGACAUGUAUUUAGGACAUUGCUAGGGCUGUGAGUCUUAACCACACCAUGCUCACGAAUUCUCAUGGAUAAUAAAAGUAACGAAGACACAAAAGAGACUGAGAUCCAAUGCUUUCUAGACUCAGAUAAUACCCAUUUUUAAAAAUCAGAGGAAACCCUAAGACAAACCGAAAAGGAAAGAUUCUUUUUCCAAAUCAAAAUAUUUAUUUAAAUCCAGAAAUAAAAUAAUUGCUGAAGUAGGACUCUUCAUAGAACAUAGCAUAUCACCAGUAAACAACAUCUUGAUUUUUCUAAUGGGGACGCUGAUGCCAGGAAAAUGCACUGAUUUGCCUAAACCAGCUUGUGUCACAAUCCCUGUGAUAGCUAUGCCCUGAAACAUCAUUUGCCUUUUCUCAUCAUUAGCAAUUCAGAUUCCCUCAUAUUUUUCAAACGCACUUUUUUUCAUUCAACAAAUAAUUUUGUAACGUCUUCCAUAAAAUUACUACUCUAGGCACUAGGGAUUCAGCCAAGGUUGAAAUGCAGUGAUGCUGGGAAAAUAAAAGCAAAAGUCACGGGCUGGCUAGGAGAUAAGCUUGUGGACAGAUAAUUAAAGUGCAAGCUGAUGAGCAGAAUCAAAACAUAGUGGAAGCAUAAAAAAGCAUGCCUCAAAGUCUGCCUGUGAAACCCAGGGAGAAUUUCCCAAAACAGGUGGCCCUUGAACUGACAUGAAGGAGGAACAGGAGUUUACAAAUAAUGAAAUGCGGAAGAACAUAGGAGGCAGAGGGAAUAGCAUAUGAAUGGGAUAUAAUACUUAAGCAGCUACAUAGUGUUUGCCCAAUUUCUUGACCUCUUGUUAAUAAUUGGCUCUGAUGACACACUUCCUUAUUGACAUCCUCCUUAUUUUUAGUUUCCAUGGCACUUGUUAAUAUCCUGUUCCUCUGCAUAGCUCCUGGUGUUCCUAAGGGUUCAGUCUUCAGCCUUCUGUUUCCUGUAUACUACCCCUUGAUUUCCAAUGCCUUCCACGUAUCUCCCAGCUUUCUCUCUCCAUAGCUCCAAAUUGAUAAAUACGACCCUGACAGGCCCUAUUCAGCCGAUGGACAGUGUCAGAAGGCAGAUUCUUUGCAGACCUUCCUACUGUUUAAAUGUCUCUAUGAAAUUCUAGGCAGCUUAGUCCUGGAGCAAGUUGAGGUCUCUUAGUCCUGGAGAACCUUGCAACUCUAAGUGUGGUCCUCAGACCAGCAGCCUUGGCACCUGUUGGAGCUUGUUCAAGUUGCAGAAUCACAGGCCCAACCCCAGGACUCCUGCAUCAGAGUCUGCGUGCUCACAAGUUCUCCAGGCAAUUCAUAUGCAUGCACAAGUUUAAGAAUAGCUGUUCUAGUAGUAAUAAUAAUUGUUUUCCUUUUGUUGCAGGAGUGAGUCACGUUUGUACAAAGCCUCACAUAACAGCCUCAUCUCCUUUGCAGUGACGAGUUGGCAAAAGACUGUGACUCAAUUCUGAAAAAUUGGACCUUCAUCCAUUUUCUUCCGAAGAUUUGGGGUCUUGGACUCUUGAGUGGGAAAAUGUUACAGUGGGUAGCUAGUCAGGCAUGCGUAGGACAGGAGAGGGCCUCCCCACACACACACACCAGAGUGUUGGGCAAGCAUCAGGUGAUGCUCAGGCGGUUGUUAACUGUUUCUCUUAAGUAAUAAUUGGUCACAGCUGGCGCCAGGAAAGGCAGUCUUCUACUAGAUAGAAAACACCUGAAACUGAUCAGCAGCUU
rnacentral:lncRNA from 1 species